CCCCAAGACUUAGAAAUCUCGGCGGGCUACCGAGUCCUCAUCCCGGCCUUUCCCAGUGAUCGGUGGUCCUUCACCCCUACCCCACAAAGGGUCCCAUUCUCCUUGCCGCUCCCGGAUUCGCUGUCCCGGGAGUUUCACUUCCUGCUAUCUCUGAACAAGGGCGGGGGAGCGCUCUCAGGCACGAAUAGAGAAUUCCUCUCUGGCACACAAGGGAUCUCCGGAGACUUGGGGAUCAGGAGGUCUUAGUCUCUGCGCUCCCCCUCCCCCAGUUCUCCUGCCUCCUGGGCAGUGGAGAACUCCAUCCAUCGCCCUUCUACAGUGCCCUCCCGCCGUUCCACGGCACCAGGGACCCCGCUCUCCGUACCUGUGCACAAGGUGCUGAGAAAGAGCCACACGAAGACGACAGUACCCCAGCCCGGGGUGGCCGGGCAGGAGCCCAGCCGCCCCCAGAAGAGCCGGCGGGCCAAAGGCGCCAUCUCGCCGGUCUGGGCGAGUUGGGCCCGAGCGUCCCCUCCCAGGAUUUUAACUAGAGGACAUAUCGUGGACGAAGAGCACGCUUCCAGCUUUCGGGGAGAAACUUGCUUGACCCACUGUGGAUCUCCGAGCCACUCCACCCCCCGUGGCUCUGGGGAAUGGAUCGGCCCAGAAUCCGCCUGCCAAUGCAGGGCACACGGGUUGGAGCCCUGGUCUGGGAAGAUCCCACAUGCCGCGGAGCAACUAAGCCCAUGCGCCACAACUACUGAAGCCCGUGCUCCACAACAAGAGAAGCUACCACAAUGAGAAGCCCGCGCACCACAACGAAGAGUAGCCCGCGCUCGCCGCAACUAGAGAAAGCCCGCAUGCAGCAACGAAGACCCGA